rnacentral:rRNA from 1 species
GAUCCUACGGGAGGCAGCAGUGGGGAAUCUUAGACAAUGGGGGAAACCCUGAUCUAGCCAUGCCGCGUGAUCGAUGAAGGCCUUAGGGUUGUAAAGAUCUUUCAGUGGGGAAGAUAAUGACUGUACCCACAGAAGAAGCCCCGGCUAACUCCGUGCCAGCAGCCGCGGUAAUAAU